AAUGGAUUGGCAGAUUUAUGUAUUAAUUUUAGAAUUUAAUUAAGUGUUUUUAUUCACAUUCAUUA
rnacentral:tRNA from 2 species